rnacentral:rRNA from 1 species
AACGAACGCUGGCGGCAUGCCUAACACAUGCAAGUCGAACGAGACCUUCGGGUCUAGUGGCGCACGGGUGCGUAACGCGUGAGAACCUGCCCUUAGGUUCGGAAUAACUCCCCGAAAGGGGUGCUAAUACCGGAUAAUGUCUUCGGACCAAAGAUUUAUCGCCUUUGGAUGGGCCCGCGUUGGAUUAGCUAGUUGGUAGGGUAAAAGCCUACCAAGGCGACGAUCCAUAGCUGGUCUGAGAGGAUGAUCAGCCAUACUGGGACUGAGACACGGCCCAGACUCCUACGGGAGGCAGCAGUGGGGAAUAUUGGACAAUGGGCGAAAGCCUGAUCCAGCAAUGCCGCGUGAGUGAUGAAGGCCUUAGGGUUGUAAAGCUCUUUUACCCGGGAUGAUAAUGACAGUACCGGGAGAAUAAGCUCCGGCUAACUCCGUG